rnacentral:tRNA from 1 species
GGGGCCGUAGCUCAGUUGGGAGAGCGCUUCCAUGGCAUGGAAGAGGUCGUGGGUUCAAUUCCCAUCGGCUCCA